rnacentral:rRNA from 1 species
ACAUUACGUUCGAAGGAUCGAUUGGCUUUGGUGACGAUGAAGAACGUUGCAGAUUGCGAUAUUGAGUGAGAAUAGCGUUAUUCAGCUCGUGUUCGAAUUAUAGAUGAUAUCUAUGAUAACUCCU